GAUGAACGCUGGCGGCGUGCCUAAUACAUGCAAGUCGAGCGAACAGACGAGGAGCUUGCUCCACUGACGUUAGCGGCGGACGGGUGAGUAACACGUGGAGAACCUACCUAUAAGACUGGGAUAACUUCGGGAAACCGGAGCUAAUACCGGAUAAUAUCUUUAACCGCAUGGUUCAAUAGUGAAAGACGGAUUUGCUUUCACUUAUAGAUGGAUCCCCGCCGCAUUAGCUAGUUGGUAAGGUGACGGCUUACCAAGGCAACAAUGAGUAGCCGACCGAGGAGGUUGAUCGGCCACACUGGAACUGGAACACGGUCCAGACUCCUACGGAAGGCAGCAGUAGGAAAUCUUCCGCAAUGGGGGAAGUCCUGCCGGAGCAACGCCGCGUGAGUGAUGAAGGUCUUCGGAUCUUAAAACUCUGUUAUUAGGGAAGAACAAAUGUGUAAGUAACUAUGCACGUCUUGACGGUACCUAAUCAGAAAGCCACGGCUAACUACGUG
rnacentral:rRNA from 1 species